CCCUGUUUACAUCCUGAAGGCAAGUUCAUUGUGUUUGUUAUUGUGCACGUGCAAGACUUUCCCUUAUGGACUGUGCUGGGAAGUUAAAAUGCUUAAAGUUCAUGUUAACUUGGUCUUACUUUUAUUCACACAGACAAAAGCAUCUCUAUUACAUGAUUUGUUUAUCUGAACCUUCUUCACUAAUGGCAUAAAUAUGGGAUUAUUUAAGAAAAACAUUUCUAAUGUAUAAAGGUCUGUGCAUUUCUAUUGGCAUCAGCUUUGCUUUGGGGAUAGGAGCAAAGUGCAGAGAGGGGCAACCAGCUAGAAAGGCAUCUGCUGGACUUACCAAGUUAUUAACUUCCUCCACUCUGCCUUUUUUUAUGUAUUUGCUUUAUUCUAUAGGUAACAGUCUGUAAAUUAAUUAGUUGUAGUUCAAUACUGACUUUGUUUCUGAUGAGAUGCUUAAGUCAUUAGACUUAACUAGUCUUUAACAAGUGUCCAAACGUUGCUUUUCAGCACUAGAAUAUAAAUUGUUUCUGUCAUUGAAUUAACCAGAUUCAGGGAAGGGAACAGCAAUGCUUUUUAAGUGUAUUGAAAUACUUCCUUCCUUUCGCAGGAGGAGAAGGGAUGGGAUGUACUUGCUGGGGGAACUACAACUUAUAGUGAGUAUAAUUCUGAUUUUCAAACUCAGUUAUGCCAAGUUUCUUUUCCCAGCUCUGAAGAGUUGAACAAGGUGGUGAGUAUAAGGCUUCUUCCAAUGUAAAAGGCUCCUCUAAGGUAUUGUUUACAAUUCUUCUCUCUCACAUUUUUCUCUCUCUUUUUUUUUGUUUGGUUUGGUUUGGUUUUUUGUUGGUUGGUUGGUUGGUUUGUUGGUUUUGGUUUUGUUUUUUUCUUUCCAGUAGUGUUCCUUGGUAGAAGAAUUUCCUUGUUUAUUUCAUUGUCAGCUUGUGGUUUCAGGGAGAAUUUCCUAUGCGCAUUUCACCUGUGGUGGAACAGUUAGAACAAUUGCACAGGGAAAUUAGAGUUAUAUAGAUGCUCUCAAAACAUUUUUAAGCGUGCCUUCGGAAAGCUAGUAAAAAUAUAUUUCAAGCUCCUGCAGACCCAUGCUCCUAGAUGGCUUUGCUUUGAGUCUUCUCACAAGACCACUAUUUCAAUAGUUUAUUCUUCCUUAUGGUCCUGUGAUCUUACCAUUUUUUAUUAUUUUAAUUACUUCUAUUUGACUAUAGUAAAGUUUCAGUGAUGCAACUGAUUUUUUCAUAUUGGUGAGCUUGUAUAAUUGCUCUCCAAUUACCAUACCUAACUAAUGGAACAGAUAUUAUUGAUUCAGGGUAAAGACUCACAGAUAUUUAAUUUGCAUGGUUCUUGGGCUCGGUUAGGUACUUCAUUCUUUGUACCUUGAACUCCAGUUUACCUUAAGAUUUUUGCUGAUCUUUGCAGUGAAUAUCUGUUCAGGUUCUGUUUUCACCUUAUAUUUUAAGAAAAAGCGUGAAAUUUUAUCUGAGAUAAAGGUUUUUUUUAAGUUUUAUUUUAAGUUGUUUUUUUUUUUUUUAAUAAGCUUAUUGUUGGGCAGCUUCAGGAUCUUCUAUAACAACUAUGCAUGCUAAAUUGAGUUCUGAACAGAGGCAGAGGGUAUUGCAUGAAAUAUUUCUCUUUCACAUUUCACCAGCAUAGACAUCUUAAUAAUGUUUAAUAACUUCUGUGUUAGGUUUGGUUGAUUUGCGUGCUCAGGUGCACUUUAAGCUGUUGAAGUGAACAAACAAGCAGGCACAGAACCAAGCAGAUUGUGACCCAUGGAGUUCUCCCUGUGUUCCCUUAGAGAGCCAUCUCAGGGCCUCAGAUAGCUCAAAAUAUUCCCUCUGAGGUAAUGUGGAUAUUAGCCAAGCAAUGUACUUAGUCUUUGUCAGACAGCAUUUUUCCCAGAGAUUGUUAUCUCUUGGUUUGUCUGUAUCAGAACAGGAUGUAUUCUGAGAGAACAAUGGUAACAGAAAGGUAAGUACAGAGCUUGUUAUCUACAGACAUGGGAAGGAAACAGGCCUGCUUUCCAAAAUGUUUAUCCUGUAGCUCUUACCAACUAUGAAAGUGGCUGAGCAGCACAGCUGAUCUUUUGGAGAAAUCAAAGUGCUUCAGCCAGUGACCAUUCCUUUUGGUGACUAUUUUAAUCUUAUACUUGUUUCUGCAAUGUACAUGGCGUGCUAGAUGACUCAAAGCUCAGUGGACUGUUGCCCUUUGGAUUUGUGCUGGCUGGCAGGCACGGAUCUGCCUGUGUGCUUCCUGCUCUGGCACGUAUACAGGUGUAUAUGGGCACAGAUCCAAACCAGCUCGUUCUGUUCUCACAGAAUUGUGAUGUGAGUGCAAGGCUUGUAUAGGCUAAAGAAAAAUUACUUGCAUUUACCUGGGUAGUGGGAGAGAAAAUAGAAUCAUAGAAUGGUUUGGGUAGGAAGGGACCUUAAAGAUCAUCUAAUUCUAGAGACACCUUGAAUUAGACCAGGUUGCUCAGAGCCCCACCCAGCCCAGCUUUGAACAAUUCCAGGGAUAGGAUAUCCACAUCUCCUUUUGUAUUAAAUAUAUGGUUUGGUCAUUUUACAAUAGUCUGCUGUUUGCAUAUUCUCCACAGCUGAGAUGCUAAGUGUCUCAGGUAUUUCACUGUCCAUUCACUUUUAUAUUUAACAAUUCAAAUACAGGAGUAAAAAAAAACGAGCAAGGGUUGAUGUGAUCUGUUAGUUUUGUCUUUGCAACAAUCUUUUCACUUCCCUAGCUGAACCUGGAAAUUAGGGUGCACUUUGCUUUUACUGUACAUAAUAUUUUAAGCUGAAACCUUUUUGUUUUCUUGUGCAUCAUAAUGACAAAAAGUAGUGCUGCAGUUCACUUUUAAACAACUUUUUUUUGUCAAAUAACAGAGUUGGGGUCAUGCUCUAGACUGUAGGCAUUUAAACCAGACAGUUCAUGCUUCAAGUCAUGCAUAGCUGCCACUGUGUCUCAAGACUGUCUCUUUCACCAGCACAGUGUCCUUCAGUGUCUUGAUACACAGGUACCCUUCAAAGCUAUUCUGGUUGGGAACAAAAAUUUAACCAAGAGAAACUUGAGGGCAUUCUCUUAGAGAAAGUAAACAUUACUAGAAUGUUCAACAACAUGGACAUUCUAGUUGUUGAACCGUGUAAAUAUUGUGGCUUUGUUCUAGCUAGAAAGAAACCGCAGCCAAGGCUGAUAUAAUCUUGUGUAGACCCAUUUUAAAAGGGAGUUACUACCCAAUAAUAGCAGCAGGUUAAUGUGCUUUUUUUUUUAAGAUGCACUGGCUGUUCUUGAUCAAACUUGGAACAACCUGAGGCCACUGCAACUUAAGCAGGAGCCAGGUUGCUGAUGCUCUGCAAGUGUUCUGCAGUUUUCAGUGACAGCUCAUGGCUUCCUUCUGUACCAUGUCUGCACAUUGCAGGUGAAGAUACCUUCUAGUGGGACGCCAUCAUGAAGUGCAGACAGCAGAUGACUUCACGGAGUGAUUCAAGGAGGCACCUUCUGAAGACUCAUUGUUAGCUGUCCUUUGCCCAUCUUGAGAUGUUUCUGUGAGGUUCUUUUUUUAAGAGCAAGGCAGUAAGCAGUGAUUAAAUUGCUGUAUUUAAGGACGUUCUGUAACACUGCCUUGAGAGACAGGUGCAAGCAUUAGUUGGCAUCAGUGCUUAUGCUGGGAUUUCCUAAUAGCUCAUUUGAAAUUCAGGUUUUGAAGAACCAUAAAGAUUGUACAAUACAGGCUAAAUAUAACUUGGGUGGGAAAAUGUUCUGGGUAUCUUAAUAUUUUUUACUAAUUCUGAAACCUAGUUUCAACAGAGCAAAUUGCUUAAAAUGAAUCCUGAGUCAAAUGGGGAAAAGGGGAUCUUUUAUUGACAGCACUAUUAGAGGGAAAUAAUUCUUGUGCGCUUCAGCAUCCAAAUUAUCAUUCUCUAUUAUCCUUGGUUUUGUUAAUCUUUCAGAUGGGAACAAGCAAGGGAAAACUUGAUGGGUUAAGAAUUUCUAAGAUUUGGGGAACAUCAACUUGAUAAAAUAGACUAUUUCAUAUGGAAGAGACCUACGGGCAUGUAAUCCAACUGCCUGACCAGGCUGUCCAGGAAAGUAGUGUAGUCACCAUCCCUAAAGGUAAAGAUGUGUGGAUGUGGCACUUCGGGACGUGGUCUAGUGGUGGGCUGGUCACUGAUGGCUUAACAGCUGGACUUGAUGAUCUUUGAGGGUUUUUCCAAGCUAAAUGAUUCUAUGAUUCCAUCAUUUUCCUGAUUUUUUAAUCAGAUGACCUUGCUUUUUUGUGCUGGGAAGGGGUUGAGGUGGGGUAAGAAGACUUCCAAAGAAGCUAUUAAAUAAGGAUAUUAGAUACUUCAUGAGACCUCCCUGUAUAGGCAAGAUUUUUUAUCGAAUAGGAACAAUCUCUUUCCUACAAGAGCAUUUUUUCUUCUAUCAUUUUGGUCUUUUAACUUCCUCAGUAAAUACAAGUGGGUUUGUGUUGCCUGUUCAUAGACUUAAAAAUCUUUUUCAAAAGCCUGGAUUAAAUGUUACUUGAUAUUGCUAUAAAAACUACUCAGUGAAACCUCUAAUUUGAACACAGCUUUAUUUUUAUGUAAGUUAUAGAAUUCCAAUAGUGUCUUUCAAACUUUCUGUUUUGAGAAUUCUGUACAGCAAACCUAAGCCAAAUGACAACAUGCCUUCCUUAGUACCAGACCAAAUAAUCCUACAGCCCUGAAGACUAAAAAUGGAAAAUGACCAUAUAAUGUACAUGCAAUAAGUAUAUAAGUCUAAACCACUCUGUAGUGCAGUUUUGCCCAGGGUAUCAUGGUCAUGCUCUUUAACUGGGGCUUAUUUUCAUGUUCUUCUGGUUUCAGUUGUGAUUGCUGAUGAUGUUCCUAUCCCUAGCUGCUUCCCCCAGCUCCCUUCUUGGGAGUCGGGGUUUUUGCCUUUAGGUCUUUUAGCUGAUAAGAAUCCAACCUAGUUUCAGAGAUAGGUGAGAGAGAAUCUAACAUUAAAUGCUGGAAUAGGUGAUGUGUUUUUGUUUUUUUGGUUUUUUUCCCCCCCAAUUAUUAAACUAUUCUUAUCUCAACUCACAAAGUUUACAUUUUCUUUCCAGUUCUCCUCCCUACCAUGAUGGGGGUUGAGGGGAGUGGCCAUACAGCUGCACGGCAUUUAAUUUGUGGCCGGGAUUAAACCACAAUAACUGGUUUCAUCUGCAUUGGGAAACAUAGGAGAAUCCUGAUAUAUGGUUCUUGAGACCUUUCCUAGCUCCUCUGCUUAAAGCAUUUGUUCUGAAAGCUAUGUGCCUUCUGCUGCUCCACUCACCUCUAACGGAUAACUUGAUGUCUGGCCUAACAGCUUAUUUAAAUGCUUAUUGGACUGGGUCUGGAGAGCACCUAGUGAGCACAAAGGUAGGUAUGCCUUUGAUUAUUUCUCUGGUUAGUGAUUGGAUCUAAGGCUCUGAUGGAUUAACUCUGGAGGACCCAGUUACAGAAGCUUCCUUUUCUGCAGCUGUACACACUGCUUUAUGCUAAAUACCUUGUUUCCUGUGUGCAGCAGCAGAAGUGCUGGUGUCUGUAUCUACCUAGCUCCAUAUCCUGUUCAGUGUAGAACCCACCCCACGUUUGCCUAGUGGAUGGUGAGUUGGAGCUCUUAAGGCAUGAGCACAGUCACCUGCACCUUCUGUUCACUCUCCUCAGAGCCUGAAAGCCACUGGGCUCAACAGGGCCUGUGUACAUGUCUGAGGAUAUGAAGAGUGACAAGCAGGUGUAAAGUGCUGGUACCUGGAGCUGACAGAGUUGCUUUGUUUUGCCCACUUGCAUGGAGCUGUGUCAGCUGGCAGACAUGCAGAAACUGACAAGGGAGAAAGCAGUAGAGGACUACAGAAUGAAUGAGGAUGGUCUUUUGAUCAAACCAGCCAUGGCAUUUAAUAGAGAAGGAUAGAAACUACAGAGAUUAUAGGUAUUGCUUUCCCACAAAAAAAAAACAGUCUUAAACCACAUUCUUCAACAAUCAAGGAUGUACUUUGUCAAAGGAGAGCUUGAAAAUCAAAUUCAUAUGGUAAAAUCUGUGUGAGGACCUUAAA